GGUAAGUAUAUAAAGAAACUAUUAUGGAUAAUUAGCUAUAUAUUAAAGAAUAUCUAGACAAUCUAGUUUCUAAGAGAAAUCAGAUAAUAAACAAAGUGAAUUGAAAUAUCUUAGUAACUUUAGGAAAAGAAAUCAAACGAGAUUGUUAUUUGGUGUCAACUAAAUAACAAAAGCCUAAAAACAAAACUUGAAAAAGUAAAACGGAUUAAAAUCUGUUAGAAUAAAGGGGAACCUUCCUCUAAGGCUAAAUAUGAUAUAUAAGCGAUAGUGAAAAGUACCGUGAGGUAAAAUUUGAAAUAGUAGUUUUAUAAGCAGCUCGAGUGAAAUUUAAAUAAAUAAUAAGAGCGUACCUUUUGCAUAAUGGGUCAGCAAGUUAAUUUUAGAUGCAAGCAAUUACGAAUGUGAUUAGCUUAGAUAAACCAAUUAUGAGAAAAUGAAAAAGUAUCUAAAAUUAGACCCGAAGGCUAGUGAUCUUACCAUGGUCAGGGUUAUAAAAGCCCGAACGGGUUAUCGUUGUAUAGAUAUCCGAAGAACUGUGGUAAGUUAGUGAAAGACAAAACUGACUAGUAUAGCUGGUUUUCCGCGAAACCUAUAUAAGUAGGUAAUUUAACUAACAUCUUAGCAGGUACAGAACUGUGAUCUCGGACAAUAUUUUUGUCAACAUCGGGGGGUUGUAGUGACUUUACCGGAGAGUAUUUGCACUCGAAAUGGCAAAGAUGAAUGUUGAAUAAUCGGACAUAGUGCGAUAAGGUUGUAUGUCUAAAGGGAAACAGCCCAGAACAAGAGUUAAGGUUCCAAAAUUAUCAUUGAGUGAAAUUAAGGAUGUUUUUUUUUAAUACAAUCAGGAAAUAGGCUUAGAAGCGGCCAUUUUUUGAAGACCUCGUAACAGAGCACUGAUUAAAGAAAAAAACACCGAAAAUUUAACGGAUCUAAAUGAUAUACCGAAACCUUGUACACAUAUGUAUAAUAAUAAAAUAUUGUCUAUGUGGGGUAGCGGAACAUUGGAUAAAUAUUCAUUAUUAUUUCUUUUUAAGAAAUAAUAAGUAUGGAUAAUAAUUAAUAAUAUUUAAAACUUAAUGUUUUAAGGAUAUUUAUAUAAUAUCGAAAAUAUGAUUUAUAUAAAUAUAUAGAUGUAUAAUAUAUGUCUUUAUUAUUAAAAUUCUCCAUCAAUAUAAUCCAAGAGAGAAUGCUGACAUGAGUAACGAAAAAGGAAUAUCCUCGCCUUAAGCUUAUGGUAUUAUAUUUAAUUUUCGGUAUCUAAAAAUAUUAAUCAAAAGGUAAUUUUGAUGAUAUUUAUAUAUAAAUACUUAAAAGUUAAAAACAAAACCUUUAACAAGUAAUAAAGGUUCUGGAAAAUUUUUAACUUUAAUAAAAAAUUAUUAACUUAGCCUUAUGAAUAAAUCUAAAUAUGUUAUAUUGUAUUUAUAAUAUAACUUGUUAAAGUUUUGCAAGAUUGUAUUGUAAAAAAACAAUAUAAUAGAGUUUUAUAAAAAAGUUAAUAAUGGAGGGAUAUAUUUAUAUUGUUGUAUAAAUAUUAAGGCUAAUAUUCAAUAAAUAUAAGUAUAAUAAGGUUUAUAUAUACCGUACCUAGAUACUAUCACAAGUAAGCAAGUAGAGAAUACAAAGGCGUUUGAGUGAACAAUCAUUAAGGAACUCGGCAAAUUGACUACCGUAACUUCGGGAUAAGGAGGGCCAUUAUCAUAAGUUUAACAUACCUAAGGUAUGAUAUAAUUAAAUUUAUGGUAAGAGGAAACAUAAAAUAAUGUUGUACGACUGUUUAAUAAAAACACAGCACUCUGCAAAGAUAAAAUAUCAAAGUAUUGAGUGUGAUGUCUGCCCAAUGUCGGCUGGGUAACGAAUUUACCUUGGUUUUUAACUGAGGUUUUGAAGGACACCCCGAUAAAUGGCGGCCUUACCUAUGAGGGUCCUAAGGUAGCGAAAUACCUUGGCCGUUAAAUGCGGUCCAGCAUGAAUGACUUAACGAUACAACAGCUGUCUCGAUGAUUGUCUCAGUGAAAUUGGAAUAGCAGUGCAGAUACUGUUUACCUCUAGAUAGACGAGAAGACCCUAUGCAGCUUUACUGUUACCAAUUGCAAGAGUUAAAAUUUAGGAUGAUUGCGAGUGUAUAAGGUAGUUGAAAGAUAACAAUGAAACACCUUUAUUUGUUUCCUAAUAUAUGCUCUUGAGGAUUGGGAGGCAGUUUAUGCGGGGCACAGAUCCCACAAAAAGUACCUGGGUAUAUCCAAAGUUCAUAUGUAAAUUUGUAAAUCUCUUUACAAAUAUUUUAAUUUGUUAUAAUUAUAUUUAUAAUUAUACAGUUAUUGUUAGAUUAAAUUCAAUAUAUAUUAUUUAAUUUAAGUAAGAUUUUAACUAUAUGGUGAAUAGAUGUAUUUUAAACUUUACAUUGUUAAAAGUUUUUUAUCAUAUUAAUAUUGUAUAAUUUCUUUCUUUAUUAAUAUGAUGAUUAUUUAUACUUUAAAAGUUUAAUGGCUAAAUCUUGCUUUACUGUUUGACCUACAAGUCUAUCAGUCGCGUAAGCGGGGCAUAUGAUCACAAGAUGCAUUAAGGAAAGGUCUUGGAUUAUAGAAAAAGUUACGCUAGGGAUUUAUAACUGUGAGUCCUCCAAUAUUAUAAAAUGUUGGUAAUAUAUUGGGUAAAUUUCAAAGACAACUUUUCUC
rfam:Aspergillus ruber CBS 135680 unplaced genomic scaffold scaffold00084, whole genome shotgun sequence.